rnacentral:rRNA from 1 species
GAUGAACGCUGGCGGCGUGCCUAAUACAUGCAAGUCGAGCGAACGGACGAGGAGCUUGCUUCUCUGAUGUUAGCGGCGGACGGGUGAGUAACACGUGGAUAACCUACCUAUAAGACUGGGAUAACUUCGGGAAACCGGAGCUAAUACCGGAUAAUAUAUUGAACCGCAUGGUUCAAUAGUGAAAGACGGUUUUGCUGUCACUUAUAGAUGGAUCCGCGCUGCAUUAGCUAGUUGGUAAGGUAACGGCUUACCAAGGCAACGAUGCGUAGCCGACCUGAGAGGGUGAUCGGCCACACUGGAACUGAGACACGGUCCAGACUCCUACGGGAGGCAGCAGUAGGGAAUCUUCCGCAAUGGGCGAAAGCCUGACGGAGCAACGCCGCGUGAGUGAUGAAGGUCUUCGGAUCGUAAAACUCUGUUAUUAGGGAAGAACAAAUGUGUAAGUAACUAUGCACGUCUUGACGGUACCUAAUCAGAAAGCCACGGCUAACUACGUG